rnacentral:rRNA from 1 species
UACAGAGGGUGCAAGCGUUGCUCGGAUUUACUGGGCGUAAAGCGUACGCAGACGGUGCCAAAGGUCGGAUGUGAAAGCCCCGGGCUCAACCUGGGAACUGCAUCCGAAACCGUGGCGCUCGAGUAUGGGAGAGGGAAGCGGAAUUCCUGGUGUAGAGGUGAAAUUCGUAGAUAUCAGGAGGAACAUCUGUGGCGAAGGCGGCUUCCUGGCCCAUUACUGACGUUCAGGUACGAAAGCGUGGGUAGCAAACAGGAUUAGAUACCCUGGUAGUCCACGCUGUAAACGAUGUGUGCUGGGUGUCGGGGGUAUUCACCCCCUCGGUAUCGAAGCUAACGCGAUAAGCACACCGCCUGGGGAGUACGGCCGCAAGGUUG